GAAGAGGCGGGGCGGCGGGAAAGGGCGCCGCUGGCUUCCCGGGCUGCUUUGAGGAGUCUGCUGGUCAAGCAGGCGGGCAAAUGCAUGAGAAUACCCGACCAGUUGCGAUGCCGGAAUUCGAUUCUGAAGCCCCCAGUGCAAUGCCUGUUCCCCUCCAGAAUAAAUCCUGGCUGUGCCCAAGCCAAAAAGCAGAGAUAUCACCUUGCCAACAAAGGUCCGUAUAGUUCAAGCUCUGGUUUUCCCAGUCGUGAUGUAUGGAAGUGAGAGCUGGACCAUCAAGAAGGCUGAUCGCCAAAGAAUGGAUGCUUUUGAAUUCUGGUGCUGGAGGAGACUCUUGAGAGUCCCAUGGACUGCAAGAAGAUCAAACGUAUCCAUUCUGAAGGAAAUCAGCCCUGAGUGCUCACUGGAAGGACAGAUCCUGAAGCUGAGGCUCCAAGACUUUGGCCACCUCAUGAGAAGAGAAGACUCCCUGGAAAAGACCCUGAUGUUGGGAAAGAUGGAGGGCGCAAGGAGAAGGGGACGAGAGGACGAGGUGGUGGGACAGUGUUCUCGAAGCUACGAACAUGAGUUUGACCAAACUGCGGGAGGCAGUGGAGGACAGAAGUGCCUGGCAUGCUAGAGGGGUCCAGGGGGGCACAAAGAGUCAGGCACGACUAAGCGACUCAACAACAAUGCCUAUGCCAGCGGCACACAUUUCUGCUGUGGUUUUGGACAAUUAUCAAAGCAUUUUUGAGAGAUUUUUUUUUUUUUUUAAUAAUAAUUUUAUUAAGGUUUU